GACGAACGCUGGCGGCGUGCUUAACACAUGCAAGUCGAACGGUGAAGCGCCUUUCUUUUUGGUGGGCGUGGAUGAGUGGCGAACGGGUGAGUAACACGUGAGUAACCUGCCCCCUUCUUCUGGAUAACCGCAUGAAAGUGUGGCUAAUCUGGGAUAUUCUGGGUCUGUCGCAUGUUGGGUCUGGGAAAGAUAUUGUUUCGGUGGGGGAUGGGCUCGCGGCGUAUCAGCUUGUUGGUGAGGUGAUGGCCUACCAAGGCGGUGACGGUUAGUCGGCCGGGGAGGAGGGACCGCCACACUGGUAAGACAACACCGAGAAUACUACGGGGGGAGGCAGCAGGGGAUAAUGGUGCACAAUGGGAGCAAUGCUGAUGCAGCGACGCCUCGGGAGGGAUGGUCGCCUGCGUGUUAUGAACCUCAUUCGCCAAUGAAGCACACCUGCCUCGUAUGUUGGUGGGUUGACGGUAGCUAGAUAAGAAGCGCCGGCUAACUACGUG
rnacentral:rRNA from 1 species